rnacentral:rRNA from 1 species
CCUACGGGUGGCUGCAGUGGGGAAUAUUGGACAAUGGGGGCAACCCUGAUCCAGCCAUGCCGCGUGUGUGAAGAAGGCCCUCGGGUUGUAAAGCACUUUCAGUGAGGAAGAACGCCUGGUGGUUAAUACCCAUCAGGAAAGACAUCACUCACAGAAGAAGCACCGGCUAACUCCGUGCCAGCAGCCGCGGUAAUACGGAGGGUGCGAGCGUUAAUCGGAAUUACUGGGCGUAAAGCGCGCGUAGGUGGCUUGAUAAGCCGGUUGUGAAAGCCCCGGGCUCAACCUGGGAACUGCAUCCGGAACUGUCAAGCUAGAGUGCAGGAGAGGUAGGUAGAAUUCCCGGUGUAGCGGUGAAAUGCGUAGAGAUCGGGAGGAAUACCAGUGGCGAAGGCGGCCUCCUGGACUAAGACUGACGCUGAGGUGCGAAAGCGUGGGCAGCAAACAGGAUUAGAUACCCUAGUAGUC